CCUACGGGAGGCAGCAGUGAGGAAUAUUGGUCAAUGGGCGGGAGCCUGAACCAGCCAAGCCGCGUGAGGGAAGAAGGUACAGCGUAUUGUAAACCUCUUUUGUCAGGGAACAAAGGCGGGGACUAGUCCCCGGAUGAGGGUACCUGAAGGAAAAGCAUCGGCUAACUCCGUGCCAGCAGCCGCGGGAAUUCGGAGGAAUCGAGCGUUAUCCGGAUUUAUUGGGUUUAAAGGGUGGGCAGGCGGCCGGUUAAGUCAGCGGUAAAAGCCCGGGGCUCAACCCCGGCGAGCCGUUGAAACUGGCGUGCUGGAGUGGGCGAGAAGUACGCGGAAUGCGUGGUGUAGCGGUGAAAUGCUUAGAUAUCGCGCAGAACCCCGAUUGCGAAGGCAGCGUACCGGCUCUAAACUGACGCUGAGGCACGAAAGCGUGGGUAUCGAACAGGAUUAGAUACCCUUGUAGUC
rnacentral:rRNA from 1 species